rnacentral:tRNA from 1 species
CCCCCCGUAGCUCAGUGGAUAGAGCAGGAGCCUUCUAAUCUCUUGGUCGGGUGUUCGAAUCACCCCGGGGGGG